CGAACGCUGGCGGCGUGCCUAAUACAUGCAAGUAGAACGCUGAAGAGAGGAGCUUGCUCUUCUUGGAUGAGUUGCGAACGGGUGAGUAACGCGUAGGUAACCUGCCUGGUAGCGGGGGAUAACUAUUGGAAACGAUAGCUAAUACCGCAUAAAAUUGAUUAUUGCAUGAUAAUUAAUUGAAAGAUGCAAUUGCAUCACUACCAGAUGGACCUGCGUUGUAUUAGCUAGUUGGUGAGGUAACGGCUCACCAAGGCGACGAUACAUAGCCGACCUGAGAGGGUGAUCGGCCACACUGGGACUGAGACACGGCCCAGACUCCUACGGGAGGCAGCAGUAGGGAAUCUUCGGCAAUGGGGGGAACCCUGACCGAGCAACGCCGCGUGAGUGAAGAAGGUUUUCGGAUCGUAAAGCUCUGUUGUAAGAGAAGAACGGGUGUGAGAGUGGAAAGUUCACACUGUGACGGUAUCUUACCAGAAAGGGACGGCUAACUACGUGC
rnacentral:rRNA from 1 species